GAUUAAAUGGCUGAAGUUAAGGCGAUAGACUGUAAAUCUAUAUAUAAGAAUUUGUUCUUUUUAAUCA
rnacentral:tRNA from 1 species